rnacentral:misc_RNA from 1 species
AACUUUCGGCAAUGGAUCACUUGGCUCUCGCAUCGAUGAAGAACGCAGCGAAAUGCGAUAAGUAAUGUGAAUUGCAGAAUUCAGUGAAUCAUCGAAACUUUGAACGCACCUUGCGCUCCUUGGUAUUCCGAGGAGCAUGCCUGUUUGAGUGUCAUUAAUAUAUAUAUCAAACUUCUCUUGUUGAGUGGUUUGGAUGUGGGGGUUUGCUGGACUCUUGAAGGGUUCAGCUCCCCUGAAAUGCAUUAGCAGAACAAACCUGUUCAUUGGUGUGAUAACUAUCUACGCUGUUGAAUGUGAGGGGCAGUUCAGCUUUCUAACAGUCCUUGGACAAUUCAUCAUUAAUGUGACCUCAAAUCAGGUAGGACUACCCGCUGAACUUAAGCAUAUCAAUAAGCGGAGGCU